UUCAACUUAUAUAGCCAACUUGGAACAAUGCCAACUGAGCUUAAAUUAAAGCAAGCUGUGCCAUAAGAAAAUCUAAAAUCAAGAAUGGCAGUGGGAGUGGGGAAACUGAAGAAAAAGGUUUUCCAAAUGCCCACUGCAUGGGCCUCGAAGGUUUACCUUUACCAGGUAAAAAUUAUUAAAUUCUAUUAUACAUAUGGUCGGUCUACUGAAGUGGGCUGCAUCUAGGCAGGAACAACGAACAAGACAGGCUGAUGGUUGAAACUCGAAAGAGAUGUGAAUGAUUUUAUUUCACACAUCUCAUUACUCAACUGCCCUGUGUAUAAAUAACGGCCAAACCUUAUGCUUGAUCAACCCAACAGGCCAGUUUCGAACAAGAUGAAGAGUCUGAUCAUUACGAGCGCCACAUCCUUUCUCAUUUGUCUCGUCAUUUUUCAUGGAAUUUCAACUCCUCCUGCGUUGGUCGAAGCAAGAAGCUUGCAAGAGAGCUCAAGGAUCUCAUUUGGAAACGUAGAUUGCAUGGAAAGACGCAAUCCAUCGCCGCCGCCUCCCCCAAAAUAGCACCACCAUGUACACCGGUUUCAAAAGAUGAACUUUUCUUGAGAUAUACAAAUCUAUCGACAUCUUCAAUUUAAGUUUAUGUAUGGGUCUAAAUUUACAAGAUAGUAAUGCAUUUUGUUUUCUUCAUUGUUGUCUAUGUGUAAUUUUUUCUUCCUUUCAGGUCUCCAAAACAUCCAGAUUCUGAAUAAUUGAGGGUGACUAUUGUCUGUGCAAGAAUUUAUAGGUUCCUCAAGUCCUGCCCUCUGUAGCCAAUAUGAUUAAGGGUGUUGUAGUCUCUCUAUAAUUUUCUGAAUAAUGAAUAAGACAACCCAAAGAUAUGGAGGAUUAUUAAUUUUAGUGAAAAAACUACCGUUUAUUCUUUUUCA